UACGUAGGGUCCGAGCGUUGUCCGGAAUUAUUGGGCGUAAAGAGCUCGUAGGCGGUCUGUUGCGUCGGUUGUGAAAACCUGGGGCUCAACUCCAGGCCUGCAAUCGAUACGGGCAGACUAGAGUUCGGUAGGGGAGACUGGAAUUCCUGGUGUAGCGGUGAAAUGCGUAGAUAUCAAGAGGAACACCUGCGGCGAAGGCGGGUUGCUGGGCCGACACUGACGCUGAGGCGCGAAAGCUAGGGGAGCGAACGGG
rnacentral:rRNA from 1 species